UGCGGGGUAGCUCAGACGGCGAGAGCAGCGUCCUCAUAAGACGAAGGUCGCGUGUUCAAGUCCCGCUCCCGCAA
rnacentral:tRNA from 1 species